GCGGCGCCCCGGAGCUCGGGCCGGUGGAAGGUUCACCUGCUAGGCUCGUCCGACAUGUCUCGCGCUCCCAUCGCACUCCAGCGUUGCGCAGCCUGGAGGGACAGGACGGACACGCGUGUGCCUCCUUCUAAUUCAUCUUGUAUGGCUUCACCAUUGUGGUUGUCAAUAUGGCAUGCAGAAUUAUCCCUCUUUCCAGCUUCUAGAGUCUACCUGGUUUCCUGGGCUCAUGGCCCCUUCCUCCAUCUUCAAACCAGCAAUGAUUGGAACGACCUGGAGCAGCCAGCAGAGCGACAAAUGAGGAAGAGGACAGAAUCUAGCUGAAGAAGCUCUGGAAGAUACCAUUUGAAGUCUGAGUUCUUGAACUCGCAAAGAAAGCACGUGAGUACACACUAGUACUUGAGCUCUUCAUUUUAAACAGAAUAAAGAAUGUACUGCUAUUAUUGUCAUUUUACAGACUGGGAAAUUCAGACUCACCAGGGCUACCCAGAUAGAAAGAAAAUGAGCCAGAAUUUCAAGCAAGCCUGAGCUUAGAAUCUACACCCUCUUUUUUUUUUUUUUUUUUUUUUUUUUGAGACAGGGUCUUACUUUGUCACCCAGGCUGGAGUUCAGUGGUAUUAGGUUGGCACAAAAGUAAUUGCGGUCUUUGCCAUUUAAAACUAGAGCCCGAAACUGCAAUUACUUUUGCACCAACCUAAUGCACUUACCAGAGCUCACUUAAGCUUUGACCUCCUGGGCUCAAGUGAUUCUCCCACCUCAGCCUCCCAAGUGGCUGGGAAUAUGGGCAUGCACCAUCCUGCCCGGCUAGAUUUUCUUUCUUUCUUUUUUUUUUUUUUUUUUUUGUGGAGACAAGAUUUUGCCAUGUUGUCCUGGCUGGUCUUUAACUCCUGAGCUCAAACUAUCCUUCUGCCCUGGCCUCCCAAAGUUCUGGGAUUACAGGCAUGAGCCACUGUGCCCGGCCCAGAACCUAUGCUCCUAACUGCCACACCAAUUGACCUCUAUUCAUCCAUUUUUAUUUCUAUAGCACUUGGUAUAAUUUCACUUUGCACACAGUAUCUAUAGAUAAUCAUUCCAGGGCAUGUAAUCGUCAUAAGAUUAUUUAUGUUAUUGCAUGUGUAUUACUGCAUGUAAUCUUCACAUGUUAUUGCCUCUAACAAGUUACGUAUUUGCAUGUAGUCUUCAUAACUGUGUAUAGAAGGCCAUUUUAGAGAUGGAAAACUGAGACUCAGAAGUGGUAAUCGUCCUACUGGUCAGAGAUUUAGCCAGGGUUUGGAUUGUGGAAUGCAGAGGACCACUUACUUUUCACUACACCAUAAAUACUCCUCACCACUGAGGCAUGUCAAAUGCCAGAUAUCUCCAGGAACCUUAGGCUACGUCUCCAUUGUUUUUGCUUUUUCCCCCCUAGACACAGCUUGGCAAAGAACAAAUGAUCCCAAACAUCAAACAGCACAGUUGGAAACAUUUAACCCACAUACUUUCAGACUUUCUGGCAUGGACCAACCUCUUGUCUUACCUUUGUUCCUGGCCAGAAAGAAAUGGCAUGAAAAGAUGGACGGUUUUUAUAACCUCUUUGAGCUCUAAACCAUGUUUCCUGUGCACUUAGGAGAUCUUCAUAGAAACCAAGUACUUCUUUUAGGCAUCUAUACUCUUAAUGCCGUAAGUCAAGUCAAGUACCCAGGUGGAUAAGACAACUGUACCAACAGAAACAUUUUUAAAAAAUAUCCUAACACAACACGAAGUGACCAUCGCAAAUUCAAAGAAGCAGGCAUAUUUCUUAAAGGUUGAAAAGAGGUGAGUCUUUCACAAGAUUCUAGCUCAAGGCCAUAUUUGCACAAGUAUAGUCAUUCCUCUAGCAAGGUUUUGUUUAUCUGGCCAUUAAAAAAAAUUAAAACAA
rnacentral:lncRNA from 1 species